AAAAUAAGGAGAAAGAACCAACAACACUAGAGGAUCUUGGUCCUGAAGGAGGCCUCCCGUCUUUAUGCAGCAAGCUGGGUACGAGACAUUGGUCCUGAACUCCGCCCAAAUGAUUACAAGAAGGAAGAAAGUGCAGAUAAAAAUGGAUCAAAUGAAAAUAAGGAGAAAGAACCAACAACACUAGAGGAUCUUGGUCCUGAAGGAGGCCUCCCGUCUUUAUGCAGCAAGCUGGGUACGAGACAUUGGUCCUGAACUCCGCCCAAAUGAUUACAAGAAGGAAGAAAGUGCAGAUAAAAAUGGAUCAAAUGAAAAUAAGGAGAAAGAACCAACAACACUAGAGGAUCUUGGUCCUGAAGGAGGCCUCCCGUCUUUAUGCAGCAAGCUGGGUACGAGACAUUGGUCCUGAACUCCGCCCAAAUGAUUACAAGAAGGAAGAAAGUGCAGAUAAAAAUGGAUCAAAUGAAAAUAAGGAGAAAGAACCAACAACACUAGAGGAUCUUGGUCCUGAAGGAGGCCUCCCGUCUUUAUGCAGCAAGCUGGGUACGAGACAUUGGUCCUGAACUCCGCCCAAAUGAUUACAAGAAGGAAGAAAGUGCAGAUAAAAAUGGAUCAAAUGAAAAUAAGGAGAAAGAACCAACAACACUAGAGGAUCUUGGUCCUGAAGGAGGCCUCCCGUCUUUAUGCAGCAAGCUGGGUACGAGACAUUGGUCCUGAACUCCGCCCAAAUGAUUACAAGAAGGAAGAAAGUGCAGA